GACGAACGCUGGCGGCGUGCUUAACACAUGCAAGUCGAACGAAGUGGCGAACGGGUGAGUAAUACGUGGGUAACCUGCCCUCCUUUUUGGGAUAAGCCUUGGAAACGGGGUCUAAUACCGAAUAAAGGGGGAUGGGCUCGCGGCGUAUCAGCUUGUUGGUGGGGUGAUGGCCUACCAAGGCGGUGACGGGUAGCCGGCCUGAGAGGGUGACCGGCCACAUUGGGACUGAGACACGGCCCAGACUCCUACGUGAGGCAGCAGUGGGGAAUAUUGGACAAUGGGCGAAAGCCUGAUCCAGCCAUGCCGCGUGUGUGAAGAAGGUCUUCGGAUUGUAAAGCACUUUAAGUUGGGAGACGUUACCAACAGAAUAAGCACCGGCUAACUCCGUGCCAGCAGCCGCGGUAAUAC
rnacentral:rRNA from 1 species